AAAGGAACGCUAAUACCGCAUACGUCCUACGGGAGAAAGCAGGGGACCGUUCGGGCCUUGCGCNUAUCAGAUGAGCCUAGGUCGGAUUAGCUAGUUGGUGAGGUAAUGGCUCACCAAGGCGACGAUCCGUAACUGGUCUGAGAGGAUGAUCAGUCACACUGGAACUGAGACACGGUCCAGACUCCUACGGGAGGCAGCAGCA
rnacentral:rRNA from 1 species